rnacentral:rRNA from 1 species
UACGUAGGGGGCUAGCGUUGUCCGGAUUUAUUGGGCGUAAAGAGCGUGUAGGCGGCCAUGUAGGUCCGGUGUGAAAACUCGAGGCUUAACCUCGAGAUGUCAUCGGAAACCAUUUGGCUAGAGUCCGGAAGAGGAGAGUGGAAUUCCUGGUGUAGCGGUGAAAUGCGCAGAUAUCAGGAGGAACACCAAUUGCGAAGGCAGCUCGCUGGGACGGUACUGACGCUGAGACGCGAAAGCGUGGGGAGCGAACAGG